rnacentral:rRNA from 1 species
UACGGGGGGGGCAAGCGUUGUUCGGAAUUACUGGGCGUAAAGGGCGCGUAGGCGGUUCGCUAAGUUGGAUGUGAAAACUCUGGGCUCAACCCAGAGCCUGCAUCCAAAACUGGCGGGCUAGAGUUCUGGAGGGGUAGCGGAAUUCCUGGUGUAGCGGUGAAAUGCGUAGAUAUCAGGAGGAACACUGGUGGCGAAGGCGGCUACCUGGACAGAAACUGACGCUGAGGCGCGAAAGCUAGGGGAGCAAACGGG